rnacentral:rRNA from 1 species
UACGGAGGGUGCAAGCGUUAUCCGGGUUCACUGGGUUUAAAGGGUGUGUAGGCGGGCUAAUAAGGCAGUGGAGAAAGCUCCCGGCCCAACCGGGAAAUUGCCAUUGAUACUGUUAGCCUUGAGUGCAGUUGAGGUGGGCGGAAUACAGCAUGUAGCGGUGAAAUGCUUAGAUAUGCUGUAGAACACCGAUUGCGAAGGCAGCUCACUAAACUGUAACUGACGCUGAGGCACGAAAGCGUGGGGAUCGCACUGG